rnacentral:rRNA from 1 species
GGGGGAUAUUGCGCAAUGGGGGCAACCCUGACGCAGCAACGCCGCGUGAAGGAUGAAGGUUUUCGGAUUGUAAACUUCUUUUAUUAAGGACGAAACUUGACGGUACUUAAUGAAUAAGCUCCGGCUAACUACGUGCCAGCAGCCGCGGUAAUACGUAGGGAGCAAGCGUUGUCCGGAUUUACUGGGUGUAAAGGGUGCGUAGGCGGCUUUGCAAGUCAGAUGUGAAAUCUAUGGGCUCAGCCCAUAAACUGCAUUUGAAACUGUAGAGCUUGAGUGAAGUAGAGGCAGGCGGAAUUCCCCGUGUAGCGGUGAAAUGCGUAGAGAUGGGGAGGAACACCAGUGGCGAAGGCGGCCUGCUGGGCUUUAACUGACGCUGAGGCACGAAAGCGUGGGUAGCAAACAGGAUUAGAUACCCUGGUAGUCCACGCUGUAAACGAUGAUUACUAGGUGUGGGGGGUCUGACCCCUUCCGUGCCGGAGUUAACACAAUAAGUAAUCCACCUGGGGAGUACGGCCGCAAGGUUGAAACUCAAAGGAAUUGACGGGGGCCCGCACAAGCAGUGGAGUAUGUGGUUUAAUUCGAAGCAACGCGAAGAACCUUACCAGGUCUUGACAUCCAACUAACGAAGUAGAGAUACAUUAGGUGCCCUUCGGGGAAAGUUGAGACAGGUGGUGCAUGGUUGUCGUCAGCUCGUGUCGUGAGAUGUUGGGUUAAGUCCCGCAACGAGCGCAACCCUUGCUAUUAGUUGCUACGCAAGAGCACUCUAAUAGGACUGCCGUUGACAAAACGGAGGAAGGUGGGGACGACGUCAAAUCAUCAUGCCCCUUAUGACCUGGGCUACACACGUACUACAAUGGAUGUUAACAGAGGGAAGCAAGACAGCGAUGUGGAGCAAACCCCUAAAAACAUUCUCAGUUCAGAUUGCAGGCUGCAACCCGCCUGCAUGAAGAUGGAAUUGCUAGUAAUCGCGGAUCAGCAUGCCGCGGUGAAUACGUUCCCG